GGUCUUAAACUCCUGACCUCAAGUGAUCCACCCACCUUGGCCUCACAAAGUGCUGAGAUUACGGGCGUGAGCCACUGUGCCUGGCCAAGGCUCUUUUAAAUUUCUUCAAAUCUAUAGGUUCCCAUACAUCCUUUCUCUCUCUUUUUUCCUUCCUCCCUUCCUUCCUUCCUUCAUAUUUUCCUUCCUUUCCUCCCUCCUUCUUUCCUUCCCUCCCUCCCUCCUUCUUCUUCCUUCUCUCCCUCCCUCCUUCUUCUUCCUUCUCUCCCUCCCUCCCUCCUUUCUUCCUUCCUUCCCUCCCUCCCUCCUUUCUUCCUUCCUUCCCUCCCUCCCUCUCCUUCCUUCCUUCCUUCCUUCCCUCCCUUCUCUUUCUCGUUCCUUGAAGGAGCCAGAAAAUUUCUUCUGUAGUUUUUUGCCCUCUGGAUUUUGCUGAUUGCAUCUCUAUGGUGAUCUUUAACAUGUUCCUCCCACCUCCAUACUUCCUGUACGUUGUAUUUCCUGUACAUUGUUACUGUAAUUUGUAGUUGGAUCUAGAGGCCUUAUAAGGUUUAUGUUCAAUUUCCUUCGUUGAGACCACUUCAUAGGUGGUGACAGUGUUCUUCCAUUUGAAGGCACAUCAUGCGUUUCUGUGGUCUUAGUAGUGUCUUGCCUCCGCCAUUAGCGUUUUAUUUUUUGUGUGUGUGCAGAAUAGUGAUAUUCAGAUUUGAUCACUCUGAUCACCCCUUCCUUUAUUAGCUGGAAUAAUUAUAGACAGAAACUGCCCCUUGCGAUUUGGUUACUGAGUGGGAAAGUUCGUAAAAGGAAGACGGGAGAAACGCUGGACUCUUCCUGUAUUAAACAGUUUCUGAAUAAAGAGCUGUUUCCCUAGCAUCCUCCAAACUCUGGCCAGUCCGAGCUUCUUUGGUAGUAAUAGAAUGAUGAUACAUGGUUUACACCUAUCUGACUGCUUCGGUCCAUUGCAACUAGGGUCCCUUCUGGUGCUCACAUUGCCUAUCUUUAGCUCUCCGUUUUGUCAUCCCCAGUUGGGGCGUCGGUCAGGAGAGCUGGAGGGGUCGGGGCUCGCACCCCGCCUCGCACAGCUGGUGCCCUUGCCGUGCCGUAGGCUCCGCCGGGACUUCCCCGGCCUCCGCCUCACUCCUGCGGCCCAGCCCUGCCCUGAGCUAGUCGCUUCUCUGUCCUGGCCUUUUUGACAUCCGCAUCCGUCUCUCCAGCUUUCUGCCCCGUCUCUGCCCACCAGUGCCUAAAUGUAAGCCCUCUGGUCCUUUGUCCCUGUAUCUCCCCAUCCCAGUGAAUGUUUGCUGAAUGAACGAAUGACUGCUGUCCAGUGUGUCUCAUUCAGCUUCAGUUUCUGUGCACCUGUCUCUAAGUCUCUUGAGGUCUGAGGCCGUGUUUUCUUUAUCUGCAUCUAUACGUUGCCGUGAGGGACAAAGGAAAGGGCUUCUCGUCAUUGUGAUCUGAUUCUCGCAUCUGCCUCCCAGACUCCACCCACAUCUUUCUCCGCUGUCCCGUACGCCGCCUCCAGCGCAACAACAAAGACUGCGACCUGGCCAGUCCGCCACGAGAGGGCGCGUUCGCUGGCGCCAGCCCGGUCUUGCGCCUGCGCGAUGUUGGGACGGAGCGGGAGUCGGGGGCGGGAUGCCUGCGGAGCGCACCGCCCCGGGCUGGGGAUGCGCGUCAGCAGCGCGUGCUGGGGGACGCAGUUACAGGGGGCGACGCAGGAGGGAACCCAAGGCCACGAGCUCCAUCUCGUCCUCCCCUUCCCGACCCAGAAAACGCUCUAAUCUACAGGGGGAGGAGAACCCGCACGGAGGCAGGGGGCUGGACAUAAUGAUCUCUUCCCCAUCCCACCUCCACCCAUCCCACCAUCUGUAUCAAGCCUCCGACUUCCAAGGACAUUUCCAUAUCCCCCCAGACAUUUUGGGAUACCAGCCUGGAGACCUAAAUGUACCCAGAAUCCCCCGCCUUUUUAUCGGUGGAUUUCAGCCCUCAAAGCGUUCCGUGAGCCUCUGACCGCCCAAAUCCAUCACACAUGAGUUGGAAUGCCAGGGACCAUUCCCGGCCAAACGUUAGCUUACAGGAGAAAGAGAGAAGAGGAGGGACUGUCCGAGGUGCCUCGGCACUAUGCCUGCACAGCUGGAUCUCUGGACACGGAGCCCUGGACCGUUUCCAUCCAGACACUCCCAUUCCAUCAAGUGGGGGUGUGGACGUUUAUGCAAUUCUGGAAGGUCUCCUGGUGGGGACCCCUGGGAAAGAGACUAAUAAGAAAGCAUCCAGUUUCUUCGGUCUCUGACGUUGUUGUCUGCACAAGAGAGUUAAGGCAGCCAUCUUGGGACCAUGAGGGAGCCAGUCUAAGAGGCAAAUCAACACAAUGAGAGGGUGUUGGAAAAAGACAAAAAGAACCUGGUCCUUGAUGUCACAGCCAGGCCUCUGAAUUAACCACCCCCAGGACUUCUUGUUACGUGAGCUAAUAAACGUUCCUUUUUGCUUAAA